UCGCACAGGGCUUGAAAAGUGCUUGAAAACGAGUCAUAGGCUUGAAAAGCCCUUGAACAAAGGUUGGCCUUGAAAAAGUGCUUGAAAAGUGCUUAUUUCAUGUAAAAAAGCCUUGAAAAUGUUUAUUUCUUCUCAAAAUUACUUUUAUCAUCGCUUUCAUUAUAAACUUAAAUCGUUCUUUAGGGAAAUAUUACGAAAAUUGAUCAUAAAUUCCUUGGCGCAAAAAGUUGAGUACGAAAUAUAAGCUUCGUACACUAUUGAGUACGAAACGUUAUGUGUACACGUCACAGAUUAUGUGUACUACGUCAGAGGUUUUCCAUUGUGAUCAAUUUUCGCGAGUGAAAACGCAGCGAUGGGGAAGUGUCAUUUCAAACCAGGGUGGUUAACUGAAUAUUACUGGGUACAGAAAACAAAGGACAUUCGAAAAGCACAUUGUUGGGUCUGUAUGAAGACCAUUGGUGUCGGGCGAUGGGGGAAAGCGCUUUGAAAAGCCACGAGAAAGAGGAAACCCACAAAGAAAACAUGACAUUGAGAAGCAAUGUGUUUGCUUGUAAUAACUUUAAAAAGAGUGAGUCUGAAAAAGAAGAGGAGGAUGGACGUGGCAGAAGAAAAAAGCAAGUGACAUCAAAGUUCCUGGAUUUUGUUAUGGAUCCAGAUGAAGUAUCAAAUGGACAUGGCCCACAGAGUCCACGAAAGCAGGGUGGUGCAAACCGAGACAGUUUUUCUCGAUCUUCUUCUGAGAAUUCAAGAUCUAGAUCGCCUUUGGAACCACAGUCUGUGUCUGAAGAAUCCUGCUAAAGUACAAGCAGGUCAAAACUAGUGUUAUCCAAAGUAUAAGCCACACAGAAAAAGACUUAAAGGAUGUCAUCUCAAAAAUCUUGAAGUAUGCGCCUGACAGAAAAGGCGGAGUGGGCCGAAGGCUGAAAAGGCCAUCACCUUAAUGUGAAGUCAACAGACUCUGGACCAUAUUAAACAGAUAAAAUAGCAAUAUGUGCUAGGUAAAAGAAUUUAUCAGAACAUUUCAGAAUUGUGAUACUUCUAUUUUGAUCGGUCUGUCACUCUGUCUAUGAACGCUACUCAUUAGUUUGCUCUUUUGAGACAGUAUUUAAUCAAGAAUCUCAUGAAAUGUUGUAAUAGUAAAAGAUCAAAAUAAUAAUUUGAUUUAUUCAAACUAUGUUAAUCUUCUGUUAAUUGUCAAUUUGUUUAUUGACAACAGAUACUUUGUCUAAUAUUAAAAAUAUUUCAGCGCGUUAUAAAAGCUGUGCGAUUUUAUAAUAUUUGGAUAUUUCAUGCACACAUUGUUGGAAAAAACAAUUUAAAUAAAGUGAAAUUUAGAUGGUUAUCUUAAUUUGGAUGGAGAUAGUUCGUUAAACGAUUAGAAAAGGACUUUCGCUAUUAAACAUUAUUAUGUAGAAUAUUAAUUACUCUACAAGUAAUUUUGUUUCCAAAUGAUUGUUUUCAUGAUUAAUGAUCCUAGUUAGGGUUGUAGAUUGUUCUUGUUGGAUUAUAUACUGACAUGCUCAUCAUUUGUGUUUACAUUUGCAUUUUAGCAUUAAAAGUUCAUUAUGCUUUAUAUAUUUGUAUGUAGACAUAUUGAUGACCAGCUUUUCAUCUAAUGUAAUAAGUAAGUAACCUAACAAAGAUAUCUGUGUUACUGUAUAUAGGUGUAUUUUGUCAUUUUUAUAUAGAUCAACAGCAAAGCAUAUAUUUUAAUGAUAUACAUCUUUUACAUGUUAAGCAAUAGAGAAAAUGAAUUGCUAUGGAUGAAUGCGCAUUAUACUUAUAGAUAAUACAGACAUGCAUAAUAUCGGAUUAUGAACAUAAAAAUAUACGUUUAGCAAUCGAAAUACCUUGUUUAAUUUCAUGCUUUUCAGUUAAUCAAAUGUUUAUUUAUGAACAUAAAAAUACACGUUUAGCAAAAGAAAUACCUUGUUUAAUUUCAUGCUUUUCAGUUAAUAAAAUUAGGCAAUAACUAUCUCGUGGAAAUUAGUGAAUAACAUUUCAAGGGAGAAUAUUGUGACAUGCUAAAUAGGAGUUGUCUCUCUUGUUUGAGUAUUAUUGUUACUCUAAACAAGUAAAGUCAUAUAUUAUUUCAAAUUAAUUCACACUAUAAACUCAUAUUUUGGUCAUAUAUGGAAAACUGAAAUAUUGUUUGCGUAAUUUUUUAUUUUUAUGUAUUAUACCAAAGCCAUCUGUAAUGACAUUUAUUAAAAUAUUAAUAUUUGAAUGGCCAUACAGUGCUAAAAGUUUGGUAUUCUGACUAUUAUAAGUGCAUGUUCUGCAAAAAUAUCAGAUUGUGUAUUAAAACACUGUUGUUAUACUUCUUAAUUAUUUUAUAUUUGACAAGUAUUGACUUGUUUUUGCUUGUAACAGUUGUCCAGUGUUGAAUUAUAGUUGUUAAUAAUAAUAACAAUUAUUGUGUCAAUUUUCUAGUUUUGAAUGAUUGCUUUCAGUUGAUUGUUUACCAGUUAUGUAACAGCUGUUUUCAUGUUAACCGCUCCACAUUACAUGUUGGUGAAGCGCAUUAACGGCCCCCAGUUUCCAUAAAACUCCAAAUUCAGCUAAUGUCUUAAGACUGGAUGUGGUUGUUUAUAUUCAACUUUGUUAUGCAUGAAACAUGUCAGUUCUGUUGUUACUCUUGAACAGAAGUUUUUAUAGGACCAAAUUGUGUCAUAUUUCAAAUUAAUGAUAUUAUUAUGCCCCCCUUCGAAAUGCCCCCCUUGUUUUUUACAUGUCGGUCGGUCUGUUGGUCGGUCGGUCCGUCCACCAGAUGGUUUCCGGAUGAUAACUCAAGAACGCUUAGGCCUAGGAUCAUGAAACUUCAUAGGUACAUUGAUCAUGACUGGCAGAUGACCCCUAUUGAUUUUCAGGUCACUAGGUCAAGGUCACAGUGACUCCAAAUAGUAAAAUGGUUUCCUGAUGAUAACUCAACAACGCUUAGGCCUAGGAUCAUGAAACUUCAUAGGUACAUUGAUCAUGACUGGCAGAUGACCCCUAUUGAUUUUAAAGUCAAAGGUCAAGGUCACAGUGACUCAAAAUAGUAAAACGGUUUCCGGAUGAUAACUCAAGAAUGCUUACGCCUAGGAUCAUGAAACUUCAUAAGUACAUUGAUCAUGACUGGCAGAUGACGCCUAUUGAGUUUGAGGUCACUAGGUCAAAGGUUAAGGUCACAGUGACUCAAAAUAGUAAAAUGGUUGACUGAUGAUAACUCAAGAAUGCUUACGCCUAGGAUCAUGAAACUUCAUAGGUACAUUGAUCAUGACUGGCAAAUGAACCCUAUUGAUUUUCGGGUCACUAGGUCAAAGGUCAAGGUCACAGUGACUCGAAACAGUAAAAUGGUUUCCUGAUGAUAACUCAAGAAUAAUUAGGCCUAGGAUCAUGAAACUUCAUAGGCACAUUGAUCAUGACUGGCAGAUGACCCCUUUUGAUUUUCAGGUCACUAGGUCAAAGGUCAAGGUCACAGUGACAAAAAACGUAUUAACACUAUGGCUGCCACUACAACUAACAGCCCAUAAGGGGGGCGUGCAUGUUUUACAAACAGCCCUUGUUAUUAACUGGUUAUUAGAUUGGCGAAUGUUGGCUGGCGGGCAUAACAAGCUUGUCCGGGCAUUAACUAUGUCGUUCAUUGUGAGAUUUUAAAAUCAUUUAGCACAUUUGUUCACCAUCAUUGGACGGUGUGUCAUGUGAAAGAAUUACGUCGAUAUCUUCAAGGUCAAGGUCAAACUUUGAGUUCAAAGGCCAAAAAAGGUCAUAAAUGAGCUUGUCCAGGCCAUAACUAUGUCGUUCAUUGUGAGAUUUUAAAAUCAUUGGGCACAUUUGUUAACCAUCAUUGGACGAUGUGUCCUACAAAAGAAUUAUGUCAAUAUCUCCGAGGUCAAGGUCACACUUUGAGUUCAAGGGUAAAAAAUGGCCAUAAAUUAUCUUGUCCGGGCCAUAACUAUGUCAUUUCAUUGUGAGAAUUUAAAAUUGCUCGGUACAUUUGUUCACAAUCAUUAGACGGUGUGUCAUGCGAAAGAAUUAAGUCGAUAUCUCCAAGGUAAAGGUCACACUUGGAGUUCAAAAGUCAAAAAUGACCAUUAAUGAGCUUGUCUGGGCCAUAACUUUGUCAUUCAUUGUGAGAUUUUAAAAUGACUGUACAUUAAUUUUGUUCACAGACAUUGGACGGCGUGUAAUGCGAAAGAGUUCAAAGGUUAAAAUUGCCAUAAAUGAUAUUGGCAUAAUAAUUCUUAAAAAUCGCCAUAAAUUUGCUUCUUUUGUUUUGUGAAGACAGCAUGCAAAAUAUUCUGUGUUAAUGCAGCAUGUGGAAGUAUAGGUCACGUCUGUGACAAAGUUCUAGUUGUAAAUAUACUUUUUUGAAAACCUGGUUUUGUGACAAUUUUGUCCCUUGUUAUGCUAUUAAAGGCAAAUAAAAUUGCAUGUAAAUAUGCAG